AUUGAACGCUGGCGGAAUGCUUUACACAUGCAAGUCGAACGGCAGCACGGACUUCGGUCUGGUGGCGAGUGGCGAACGGGUGAGUAAUACAUCGGAACGUGCCCAGUCGUGGGGGAUAACGUAGCGAAAGCUACGCUAAUACCGCAUACGAUCUAAGGAUGAAAGCGGGGGAUCGCAAGACCUCGCGCGAUGGGAGCGGCCGGUGGCAGAUUAGGUAGUUGGUGGGGUAAAGGCUCACCAAGCCGACGAUCUGUAGCUGGUCUGAGAGGACGACCAGCCACACUGGGACUGAGACACGGCCCAGACUCCUACGGGAGGCAGCAGUGGGGAAUUUUGGACAAUGGGCGCAAGCCUGAUCCAGCCAUUCCGCGUGCAGGAUGAAGGCCCUCGGGUUGUAAACUGCUUUUGUACGGAACGAAAAGGCCCUGGUUAAUACCUGGGGCUCAUGACGGUACCGUAAGAAUAAGCACCGGCUAACUUCGUGCCAGCCGCCGCAGUAA
rnacentral:rRNA from 1 species